UAGGUAGGUGGUCUCAUUUGUCUGGGGUGAAAGCCUUGAGCUUAACUCAAGAAGUGCCCCGGAAACGGUGAGACUAGAGUCUUGGAGGGGGUCGUGGAAUUCCCGGUGUAGCGGUGAAAUGCGUAGAGAUCGGGAGGAACACCAGAGGCGAAGGCGGCGACCUGGACAAGUACUGACACUCAACUACGAAAGCGUGGGGAGCAAACA
rnacentral:rRNA from 1 species